rnacentral:rRNA from 1 species
UUCAGCAACGGAUCUCUUGGCUCUCGCAUCGAUGAAGAACGCAGCGAAAUGCGAUAAGUAAUGUGAAUUGCAGAAUUCAGUGAAUCAUCGAAUCUUUGAACGCACCUUGCGCUCCUUGGUAUUCCGAGGAGCAUGCCUGUUUGAGUGUCAU